rnacentral:rRNA from 1 species
GAUGAACGUUGGCGGCGUGCCUAACACAUGCAAGUCGAACGGACCCAAUUCUUCGGCUGAGGGUUAGUGGCAAACGGGUGAGUAACACGUGGGUGACCUACCCCGAAGUGGGGGAUAACAACUGGAAACGGUUGCUAAUACCGCAUGUGCCCGACGAUUCAUGUCGUCGAGUAAAGUUCCGGCGCUUCGGGAGGGGCCUGCGGUCGAUUAGCUAGUUGGUAGGGUAAUGGCCUACCAAGGCAGUGAUCGAUAGGGGGCGUGAGAGCGCGACCCCCCACACUGGGACUGCGACACGGCCCAGACUCCUACGGGAGGCAGCAGUGAGGAAUAUUGCACAAUGGGCGAAAGCCUGAUGCAGCAACGCCGCGUGAGGGACGAAGGCCUUCGGGUUGUAAACCUCUUUUCUGAGGGAAGAGAUAGGACGGUACCUCAGGAAUAAGUCUCGGCUAACUACGUGCCAGCAGCCGCCGUAACAC